GACGAACGCUGGCGGCGUGCUUAACACAUGCAAGUCGAACGGUAAGGCCCUUCGGGGUACACGAGUGGCGAACGGGUGAGUAACACGCGGGUGAUCUGCCCUGCACUUCGGGAUAAGCCUGGGAAACUGGGUCUAAUACCGGAUAGGACUCCUGGCUUCAUGGUUGGGGGUGGAAAGCUUUUGCGGUGUGGGAUGGGCCCGCGGCCUAUCAGCUUGUUGGUGGGGUAAUGGCCAACCAAGGCGACGACGGGUAGCCGGCCUGAGAGGGUGACCGGCCACACUGGGACUGAGAUACGGCCCAGACUCCUACGGGAGGCAGCAGUGGGGAAUAUUGCACAAUGGGCGCAAGCCUGAUGCAGCGACGCCGCGUGAGGGAUGACGGCCUUCGGGUUGUAAACCUCUUUCAGCACCGACGAAGCGCAAGUGACGGUAGGUGCAGAAGAAGGACCGGCCAACUACGUGCCAGCCGCCGCGGUAA
rnacentral:rRNA from 1 species